rnacentral:rRNA from 1 species
AUUGAACGCUGGCGGCAUGCUUUACACAUGCAAGUCGAACGGUAACAGGGUGCUUGCACCGCUGACGAGUGGCGAACGGGUGAGUAAUGCGUCGGAACGUGCCGAGUAGUGGGGGAUAACGCAUCGAAAGGUGUGCUAAUACCGCAUACGUACUGAGGUAGAAAGUGGGGGACCUUCGGGCCUCACGCCAUUCGAGCGGCCGACGUCUGAUUAGCUAGUUGGUGAGGUAAAGGCUCACCAAGGCGACGAUCAGUAGCGGGUCUGAGAGGAUGAUCCGCCACACUGGGACUGAGACACGGCCCAGACUCCUACGGGAGGCAGCAGUGGGGAAUUUUGGACAAUGGGCGCAAGCCUGAUCCAGCCAUGCCGCGUGUCUGAAGAAGGCCUUCGGGUUGUAAAGGACUUUUGUCCGGGAGCAAAUGCCUGGUGUUAAUAGCACUGGGAGCUGAGAGUACCGGAAGAAUAAGCACCGGCUAACUACGUGCCAGCCGCCGGGUAAAAC